rnacentral:rRNA from 1 species
GCAUAUCAAUAAGCGGAGGAAAAGAAACUAACAAGGAUUCCCCUAGUAACUGCGAGUGAAGCGGGAAAAGCUCAAAUUUGAAAUCUGGCAGUUCUUGACUGUCCGAGUUGUAAUCUAGAGAAGUGUUACCUGUGCUGGACCGUGUACAAGUCUUCUGGAAUGAAGCAUCAUAGAGGGUGAGAAUCCCGUCUUUGACAUGGACUACCAGUGCGAUAUGGUAUGCUCUCAAAGAGUCGAGUUGUUUGGGAAUGCAGCUCAAAAUGGGUGGUAAAUGCCAUCUAAAGCUAAAUAUUGGCGAGAGACCGAUAGCGAACAAGUACCGUGAGGGAAAGAUGAAAAGAACUUUGGAAAGAGAGUUAAACAGUACGUGAAAUUGCUGAAAGGGAAACGCUUGAAGUCAGUCGCGUUGGCUAGAAAUCAGCCUUGCUUUUGCUUGGUGUACUUUCUGGUCUGACGGGUCAGCAUCAAUUUUGACCACUGGAUAAAGUCUCUGGGAAUGUGGCAUCUUUGGAUGUGUUAUAGCCCAUGGUCGCAUACGGUGGUUGGGAUUGAGGAACUCAGCACGCCGCAAGGCCAGGUUUCGACCAUGAAUCGUGCUUAGGAUGCUGGCAUAAUGGCUUUAAUCGACCCGUCUUGAAACACGGACCAAGGAGUCUAACAUGCCUGCGAGUGUUUGGGUGGAAAACCCAUGCGCGUAAUGAAAGUGAAAGUUGAGAUCCCUGAAAGGGGUGCAUUGACGCCUGGACCAGACCUUUUGUGACGGAUCCACGGUAGAGCAUGUAUGUUGGGACCCGAAAGAUGGUGAACUAUGCCUGAAUAGGGUGAAGCCAGAGGAAACUCUGGUGGAGGCUCGUAGCGAUUCUGACGUGCAAAUCGAUCGUCAAAUUUGGGUAUAGGGGCGAAAGACUAAUC